rnacentral:rRNA from 1 species
UUUAUAUGAGAGUUUGAUCCUGGCUCAGGAUGAACGCCGGCGGUGUGCCUAAUACAUGCAAGUCGAACGACGUUGGCCAACUGAUUGAACGUGCUUGCACGGACUUGACGUUGGUUUACCARCGAGUGGCGGACGGGUGAGUAACACGUAGGUAACCUGCCCCAAAGCGGGGGAUAACAUUUGGAAACAGAUGCUAAUACCGCAUAACAAUUUGAAUCGCAUGAUUCAAAUU